CAAUGAACACAAUUCUAAGGAAUAUGCCUUCUUCUAAGGAAGAAGCCAGCCAUGGCAUCUUAGCACAGACUGUCAUAAUAAAAUACAGCCUGGAUGGCAUAACAGAAACUUAUUUCUCGGAGGCGUGAAGGCUGGGAAGGCCAAGAUCAAGGUGCUGAUAAGCCAUUAGUUCCUCAGGAUCACCUCUGACAUGUAAAGUCCCCAGUGAGAUCCCAAAUUCACUUGCAGAUAAUCUAAGAAACACACCAAAAGACCGGAUACUUUCUACAACCUACCCUGACAAAGAUUUACACACCUUUUCCAAAAGACUACGCCACAACAGGCGACGAUGUACUGUCUACUCGGUGCCAGAUACUAAGACUACAACAGAUGAAUAGAAGCACGGACCUUGUCUUCGAGGCCCUCGCCAACCAGUCAAGCGAACAGAUAAAAAGGUAUAGUGAGGCUGCAGAGGCAACUCCUCGGCCUGGCUGCCUCCAACACGAGGAUCGUGUUUCAUGAGAACAACGGCCACGGUUCCAGCUUCAGCUCUCACUAGGGCAAAGCCUAAUGACCAAUAAUAACGGGUGAUGCUUUGGGGGAAUUCACUCAUUCUUUUGAUAAAUCUGUAUGCGAUAUUUACUAUGUGCCUGGAACAGUGUGAACUGCCAGGGAUACAAUGGUGAAGAACAAAACUACCCACGGUCUCUACUUUCUCGAAGCAAACAGUCUAAAUGCCAAUACCUGUAUUGCCAGACUUAACCACAAUAGAAUCCAAUCGGCAGCCGGGGAGCCAAUAUGAUCAUUAUUAAGGGUCACAUGUAACCUGUAUCAGAUACUGGAGGCUCUCAACCAUUCAAUCUUCAACAGACACUUACAAAUGUCUCUUAUGUGCAGGAUACUCUGCUGGGUACAAUACAGAGAAGGAAGGAUGAAUAAGAAAGACACCAACGCAGUCUUCAGAGAAGCUGUCUAAAGCGUCUAAGACUUUUCAAAUGGCGUAUUUAGUUUUCAAAACCAACACAAACAUGAUAAUACAAAGUAACAAGAAUUCAAUGUGACUCAGUGGGUUAGCUAGUUAACUUUUCAAGGAAAAAUAUUUAAAGUGUUUUGGAAACCAUGAAUAAACUAACCCUUCUAUCUAGAGAAGGCAAUCCAAACUACUAAAUAGUGAUUAAAGGUUGAUCCAUACACUCGAAGAGAGAUUAAGCAAAGGAUAAAGAGAGACGUUUGGU